CCUCUGAAUGGCUCUCUCCGUCUCAAACAGAAAAGGAGAAACAACAAACCCUAGAUUCGAUUUCUCUGCUUCUUCCAUCUUCGGCUCGUUCACGAUCCAGACGAAUCGAGCGUCUUCGUGUUCUUCAUUCAUUCGUUUAUCAUGGUAAGCGUGUUGUCAAAUCUCCAUACCUCCCCUUUUCGUUUAUCUUGGUCGUUGUCCUUUUUUGUUAGUUGGUGGGGAAAACUUGUAAGUGAGUAUGGUGAAAUCGGGUUAUGUCUGUAGAAAGCGAAUUGCUAAAAAAUUGGAGACUAACCCAAAUGGGGUUGGGGUUAUGGUAGAAACGGAAUUGGGACAGAAAGGGGUUACGAAUUAGGAUAAAUGGUCUAUUGUGUGAAUCGGGUGUGUAGUACUUUGUGUUGUUUUGGUUUUGUUGAUCGUGAAUUGAUUUUGGGGUGUUUAGUUUGUCUACUUGACUUCGUGGUAAAGCUUAAUUGAUGUUGCUAUGCGGUUUGCAUUUGGAGUGAUUGAGUUGUUGUGGUUGUAACGUCUUGUACAUGAAAUGAAGGGCCAAAAAAGUAGGCAUCAAUAAUACUGCAAAGGUUUUGCAUUCUCAGUGUUUGUCUCUGUUACCAAGAGAAAAAGAUAUGCUAGUGGUACAAUGACCGAGGAUCAGGCCCUCCCCUAAUUUGUCAAAUGCACGUGGAGAAGGAACGCCGACGAGAAAGGAUUGUUGCUUCACGCAGUGAUUAUAGUGCUGAUCAUAAUGACCUUUGCGAUGAUAAAACGAUGCUCAAGAUGCAAAGAGAGCAGCGGAAGCGUGCUGAUAAGGAGAACGGAGAAAGGAGAGGCCGUGUGUUCUGGAUGACAGAGAAGCCGAUCAAGAUAACUUGCACCAUUUUCCAGAGGAAAAAAAAAAA